rnacentral:misc_RNA from 1 species
AAUCCACUUAAGCCCUGCUUAGUGUUGGGAGUCUACUGGAGCGGUGCUACCUGGGAGUUACCCUGUAGUUACCCUGUAGUUCCUUAAAGAUAGCGGCGGAGUUGUGGUAUCCUCUGAGCUUAGUAACUUAACCUAGCUUUCGAGAAACCACUUCCCUUGCCGUAAAACACCCUUCUUUUGAAU